GCUGGGUGCGUUGGCUCGCGCCUGUAAUCCCAGCACUUUGGGAGGCUGAGGUGGGUGGAUUACUUGAGGUCAGGAGUUCGAGACUAGCCUGGCCAACAUGGUGAAACCCCAUCUCUA
rnacentral:SRP_RNA from 1 species